rnacentral:rRNA from 1 species
UUACCAGGCCUUGACGUACUCAGCAAAGCCCUAGAGAUAGGGUGGAGGUUAUCUGGGAUACAGGUGGUGCAUGGUUGUCGUCAGCUCGUGUCGUGAGAUGUUGGGUUAAGUCCCGCAACGAGCGCAACCCUUGUCUUUAGUUACCAUCAUUCAGUUGGGGACUCUAGAGAGACUGCCGGUGAUAAACCGGGGGAAGGUGGGGAUGACGUCAAAUCAUCAUGCCCCUUAUGGCCUGGGCUACAAACGUAAUACAAUGGCGUAUACAAAGGGAUGCGAAAGGGUGACCUGGAGCAAAACUCAUAAAGUACGUCUCAGUUCAGAUUGGAGUCUGCAACUCGACUCCAUGAAGGCGGAAUCGCUAGUAAUCGCGGAUCAGCAUGCCGCGGUGAAUACGUUCUCGGGGUUUGUACACACCGCCCGUCAAACCAUGAGAGUUGGUAAUACCCGAAGCCGGUGGCCUAACCUAGUAAUAGGAGGGAGCCGUCGAAGGUAGGAUCGAUGAUUAGGGUGAAGUCGUAACAAGGUAGCC